rnacentral:rRNA from 1 species
CUCGCAAGAGCCUCGCGCGAUUGGAGCGGCCGAUAUCAGAUUAGCUAGUUGGCGGGGUAAAAGCCCACCAAGGCGACGAUCUGUAGCUGGUCUGAGAGGACGACCAGCCACACUGGAACUGAGACACGGUCCAGACUCCUACGGGAGGCAGCAGUGGGGAAUUUUGGACAAUGGGCGAAAGCCUGAUCCAGCAAUGCCGCGUGCAGGAUGAAGGCCUUCGGGUUGUAAACUGCUUUUGUACGGAACGAAACGGUCUGCCUUAAUACGGUGGGCUAAUGACGGUACCGUAAGAAUAAGCACCGGCUAACUACGUGCCAGCAGCCGCGGUAAUACGUAGGGUGCGAGCGUUAAUCGGAAUUACUGGGCGUAAAGCGUGCGCAGGCGGUUAUAUAAGACAGAUGUGAAAUCCCCGGGCUCAACCUGGGACCUGCAUUUGUGACUGUAUAGCUAGAGUACGGUAGAGGGGGAUGGAAUUCCGCGUGUAGCAGUGAAAUGCGUAGAUAUGCGGAGGAACACCGAUGGCGAAGGCAAUCCCCUGGACCUGUACUGAC